UACGGAGGGUGCGAGCGUUACCCGGAUUUACUGGGUGUAAAGGGCGUGUAGGCGGUCUCUCAAGUCCGAUGCUAAAGACCGAAGCUCAACUUCGGGGGUGCGUUGGAUACUGUGAGGCUAGACGGUCGGAGAGGGUAGCGGAAUUUCCGGAGUAGCGGUGAAAUGCGCAGAUACCGGAAGGAACGGCAAUAGCGAAGGCAGCUACCUGGACGAUUGGUGACGCUGAGGCGCGAAAGCGUGGGGAGCAACCCGG
rnacentral:rRNA from 1 species